AUACGUAGGUGGCGAGCGUUGUCCGGAAUUAUUGGGCGUAAAGAGCAUGUAGGCGGCUUAAUAAGUCGAGCGUGAAAAUGCGGGGCUCAACCCCGUAUGGCGCUGGAAACUGUUAGGCUUGAGUGCAGGAGAGGAAAGGGGAAUUCCCAGUGUAGCGGUGAAAUGCGUAGAUAUUGGGAGGAACACCAGUGGCGAAGGCGCCUUUCUGGACUGUGUCUGACGCUGAGAUGCGAAAGCCAGGGUAGCGAACGGGAUUAGAUACCCCGGUAGUCCUGGCCGUAAACGAUGGGUACUAGGUGUAGGAGGUAUCGACCCCUUCUGUGCCGGAGUUAACGCAAUAAGUAUUCCGCCUGGGGAGUACGGCCGCAAGGUUGAAACUCAAAUGAAUUGACGGGG
rnacentral:rRNA from 1 species